CGGGGAGUGGAGUCUGUAAAUAAAUCUAACCACCAAAAACCAGUUAACGUGGAACACCCUGCGUGAAAACGGGGCAGAAACGUGGGGCAGGUCUGUAAAUGUAAAUAUGAAUUGUAACACUUUUCCCAUUUCCAUAAUCUGCUGAUAUGAUAUGAUUGGGCUGUUAAACCUACAGGGGAACUACGAACAUUAUGGUGUUGUACUAUCGAGUUGUCUUGCAUGAAGACCACAGAUAAGCGCCAUAAAUCAAACUCAUGUCAGGUCUAAUGGGUCGAAGUGCGUUUAAGGUUCGCUUACAUUACCCUUUCUAAAAUCUGUUGCCGUGUUGCGAGCCUUUUGAAUUGUCGUGAAUUGAUUUACACUUCGGGUAAGCUGGGACAAGAAAUGGAAUUUCAACUUUUGCAUUGAAGUUGUUUGUUUUUCUUCUGUGGUUCUCGUUUACUUGACCUGCAUGAAACAACACAGUAUGAACGUUGACAUGUGCUUCAGUCAUCCGCAGUGACAUUAUUAAGUGCAGGUGGGUUCUCGUCACUGCUCUUCUUCUUUUUUUAUAUAUAUAUAGAGAGAGAGAUAUAUAUUUAGUUUUUGUUUGCAUUUGUCCUCCACCUCUACUCAUUCGCCCAACGAGGUCGUGACAGAGAAGACAAACGUACUUUGGCAACAAAACGUCCAACGGUAGGAGAACUGCGAAAAUACGUGACAGAAAACUUAUAUUAAAUUCCAUACCAGAACUAUUUGAUAUACAGAUCGCGUUUAUCAGUUUAUUAUCAAGAGUUAUUAAGUGCUCAUAUGAUUUUUAAAAUUAUUCUCGAGUGAAAGCGCCUUUCUGAAUAAUGGUACGUCCUAUAAAACCCCACUAGAGAGUGCUGUGGUACAAUUUUAAGGACAACCAUCACUAAGCUAUUCCAAUUCUUUAUGAAAGCUAUUCAUAAGUAAAUGGUUUUGUGUUUGUGAAUUAUGUAAAAAGCCAUGUACUAAUGUUCUGAAAGUCCUAAGCCAUUAAAUACAAAUAUACACAUCAGCCAACUUUAAUAAGUGCCUUCAAAUUUGCCUUCAAAUGGACCAAGCAGCCAAGAACGUCCAAGCACAGAUAUAAUCUUUAAAUUAUGUUUUUUUUUUAUUAUAUCCCAGAAAAGAUAAGAGGUUAUUUCAAAAAUACACAAUAAUAGAAAUAAGCUAUUUUAAGAACUAUGUAGGCCUAUAAAAGAGGUAAACUAAACAGACUUCUACUCAAAAAAUAUCAUAACUCAACAAACUGACCUAUUUAGUAACUGAAUAAACCUUCUUUUAGCAUCAGAUUUUGUUUUGGGGUAUUUCGGUGGGCCUAUGUGAAAUGUAGCUUCAGUUUCCUGUUCUUAACUUAUGUGGUCUGCUGCUGCUGUAGCUCAUCUGCUUCAAGUUUCAACCUGCUGUGCUCUUCUGCAUACCUUGGCUAUAAUGAGUGGCUAUUUGAAUUACUGUUGUCUUCCUAUCAACUCAAAGCAGUCUGUCCAUUCUUCUUUGACCUCUGACAUCAAGUAGACAUUUUCACCCAGAGAAACUCAAGACUUUCAGUCUGCCUUGAAGCAUUCCAAGGGUGUAUAGUAUACCCAGAACAUGGUUGAGACACAUCUCUCGGCUGGCCUGGGAACAACUCAGCGUUUCUCCGGAUAAGCUGAAGAAGGUGGCUGGGGAGGGGGAAGUUUGUGCUCUCUGCUUAGGCUACUGUCCCCACAACUUGACCCUGACUAAGCAGAAGAGGAUGGAUGGACGAACAGAUGGAAAAAUAUUCUCUGCAAACUCCAGAGAAACCCGAGAGAUUGUUGUGUGGAAAAAUCCCAGUAAAUCCCAGUAGGAAAGAUAAAGCCAUAAAGAAUGUCUGAUAUAAAAUAUUACAUGUCACUGUCUGUGACUGUGGGUGUCAUGUUGGUGGGCCUGCUCUACUCCAUCUGUUUAGCCUGUCAGUGGAUUUAUGGUUGGCCUGACAAGCCUGGGUAUAAGAAGUACAUAGAAGCUCUUAAUCCAAGGCGAAUAUAUCGUCUGACCCUCACUACACUGGAUCUUCUCAAAUACCUGCAGUAUUGGAAAGUUUACUUUCAGCUGAAGUCAUGGUAUAACGAUGAGAGGAAUCUAAAGUAUUAUGAAAAGGGCAUCACGUUUGGCCGCAGAGGCAACAAGCUGGACUUAUACCACCCUCCAAAUGUAAGGAAGCUGCCAUCACCGGCGGUAGUAUUUGUCUACGGAGGUGCAUGGGGCACAGGAGAAAGGUCCACUUACUGUUUACUGGGGAGUCGGAUGGCUGAAGAACUGAAAGCAACUGUAAUUUGUCCUGAUUACUGCACAUAUCCAAAGGAUAACAUUGUAUUAAUUGGGCAUUCAGCAGGUGCACAUUUGUGUACACUCACCACACUGUUUCUUGUUGAUACAAGAGAGGAGCUUUCCAUAGAGCCAGGCAAGCAGCAGGAAGUCUUGCUCUCGAUAAGAGGAAUUAUUGGUCUGAGCGGCGUCUACAACAUCGUGGACCAUUAUGAGCAUGAACAGAAACGAGGAGUUGAACGAGUGUCCCCCAUGCACAAAGCGAUGAAUGGUGUGGAAAACCUUCCAUACUACUCACCAACACACUUACUAAAGAAGCUCAGCCAGGACAAAGUCAACAGAUUGCCUCCAUUCGCUUUGCUCCAUGGGACCAAUGACAUUAUGGUUCCUGCUGAAUCUACCAUAAGAUUCUCUGAGCUUCUCACUUUGCGCUCUGUUAAGAUGUCAUUGAAUGUUCUUCAUGGAGUCGCCCACACUGAGACUGCUGUUGAUCUCAUGGUGUUAAACAGACGCCUCUACCGUCCAAUCUACAGAUACAUCAAAGAAGAGUUUAGAAAAUUUCUGGGUACCUGCUGACUGCAUGUGAUUAGAAAAGUAUUCACACAGCUCCAGUAUGUGCUGAAUUGUACUGUACUGUAAAUUAAAAUCAACCAUUUAAUUAUGAGUUUGACUUGAUUCUCUGAAGCUCUGAUUUUAUAAAACUAAUAUGAUAUUUUUAACAGUACUUUAAUUAUUUUGGAGAGAUGCUCUUUAUAGUGCUGUCAAAUAAGUAAUCACAAAGUGAAAUCAAUUAUAGAACAGUAGGGUUUAUUAGGAAGCUACACACAAUAUUCAAAUCCAGUUACAAAAUACCUAUUAUUGAAUUAAAUAUUACAUUCAAAUGUUAUCUUGUGUUAACAUGUCAUUACUUAUUAUUAUUGCUUCACUUGCAACCAAAAACAUCAUAAAUGUUUUAAGAUCUUCA
ensembl:lncRNA